UUUAGGCUAUGUUGUUGCACAAUGCCAAAAAAUCAUGACACAAGUAUCAGAUAUGAAUGUGCGUUUAAUACGGAUAUUUUUAAUUUUUUUAAAAAAAAUUGUUCGUGUAUUUAGAAGGUAUUUGGGAGAUUAUAUUAAAAAAAUUGUUCGUGUAUUUAGAAGGUAUUUGGGAGAUUAUAUGUCUGAAUGUCCAAAAAUGAAGAGUCAGGCAUGAUCCUAAGAGCAUAUAUUCAAAUAUAAGUUUAACCGUUCUAAAUAUAUGAAAAUACGUACUCGAGUCAUGCCAAACACGUAAUUGUAUCACACCUAAAUCCACAAGAAAGGAGAAAAUUGAUACUCAC
rnacentral:lncRNA from 1 species